GUGGGGAAUAUUGGGCAAUGGGCGAAAGCCUGACCCAGCAACGCCGCGUGAAGGAAGAAGGUUUUCGGAUCGUAAACUUCUAUCCUUGGUGAAGAUAAUGACGGUAGCCAAGAAGGAAGCCCCGGCUAACUACGUGCCAGCAGCCGCGGUAAUACGUAGGGGGCAAGCGUUGUCCGGAAUGAUUGGGCGUAAAGGGCGCGUAGGCGGCCCGGUAAGUCUGAAGUGAAAGUCCUGCUUUUAAGGUGGGAAUUGCUUUGGAUACUGUCGGGCUUGAGUGCAGGAGAGGUAAGCGGAAUGCCCGGUGUAGCGGUGAAAUGCGUAGAGAUCGGGAGGAACACCAGUGGCGAAGGCGGCUUACUGGACUGUAACUGACGCUGAGGCGCGAAAGUGUGGGGAGCAAACAGGAUUAGAAACCCUAGUAGUCC
rnacentral:rRNA from 1 species